rnacentral:rRNA from 1 species
ACACGACCGUACCGCAAACCGACACUGGUGCGCGAGAUGAGUAUUCUAAGGCGCUUGAGAGAACUCAGGAGAAGGAACUCGGCAAAUUGACACCGUAACUUCGGAAGAAGGUGUGCCUUUAGUAGGUGAAGUCCCUCGCGGAUGGAGCCCAAUGAGGUUGCAAAAAAUCGGUGGCUGCGACUGUUUAUUAAAAACACAGCACUCUGCAAACACGAAAGUGGACGUAUAGGGUGUGACGCCUGCCCGGUGCUGGAAGAUUAAAUGAUGGGGUGCAAGCUCUUGAUUGAAGUCCCAGUAAACGGCGGCCGUAACUAUAACGGUCCUAAGGUAGCGAAAUUCCUUGUCGGGUAAGUUCCGACCUGCACGAAUGGCGUAACGAUGGCCACACUGUCUCCUCCUGAGACUCAGCGAAGUUGAAAUGUUUGUGAUGAUGCAAUCUCCCCGCGGAAAGACGGAAAGACCCCAUGAACCUUUACUGUAGCUUUGUAUUGGACUUUGAACAGAUCUGUGUAGGAUAGGUGGGAGGCUUUGAAGCAGGGUCGCUAGAUCUUGUGGAGCCAACGUUGAAAUACCACCCUGGUGUGUUUGAGGUUCUAACCUAGGCCCGUAAUCCGGGUUGGGGACAGUGCAUGGUAGGCAGUUUGACUGGGGCGGUCUCCUCCCAAAGUGUAACGGAGGAGUUCGAAGGUACGCUAGUUACGGUCGGACAUCGUGACGAUAGUGCAAUGGCAUAAGCGUGCUUAACUGCGAGACUGACAAGUCGAGCAGAUGCGAAAGCAGGACAUAGUGAUCCGGUGGUUCUGUAUGGAAGGGCCAUCGCUCAACGGAUAAAAGGUACUCUGGGGAUAACAGGCUGAUACCGCCCAAGAGUUCAUAUCGACGGCGGUGUUUGGCACCUCGAUGUCGGCUCAUCUCAUCCUGGGGCUGUAGCCGGUCCCAAGGGUAUGGCUGUUCGCCAUUUAAAGAGGUACGUGAGCUGGGUUUAAAACGUCGUGAGACAGUUUGGUCCCUAUCUUCCGUGGGCGCUGCAGAUUUGAGGAAGCCUGCUCCUAGUACGAGAGGACCGGAGUGGACGCACCUCUGGUGUAUCGGUUGUCACGCCAGUGGCAUUGCCGAGUAGCUAUGUGCGGAAGAGAUAACCGCUGAAGCAUCUAAGCGGGAAACUCGUUUCAAGAUGAGAUCUGCCGGGGCCUUGAGCCCCCUGAAGAGUCGUUCAAGACCAGGACGUUGAUAGGUCGGGUGUGGAAGCGCAGUAAUGCGUUAAGCUAACCGAUACUAAUUGCUCGUGCGGCUUGACU